UACGUAGGGUGCGAGCGUUGUCCGGAAUUAUUGGGCGUAAAGAGCUUGUAGGCGGUUUGUCGCGUCUGCCGUGAAAAUUCGAGGCUCAACCUCGAACUUGCGGUGGGUACGGGCAGACUAGAGUGUGGUAGGGGGAGACUGGAAUUCCUGGUGUAGCGGUGAAAUGCGCAGAUAUCAGGAGGAACACCGAUUGCGAAGGCAGCUCGCUGGGACGUUACUGACGCUGAGACGCGAAGGCGUGGGGAGGCGAACGGG
rnacentral:rRNA from 1 species